rnacentral:pre_miRNA from 7 species
AUUUAGGGAAAAGUGUAAGACCCCCUUUCAGGGACCCCCACUCUAGUCUCAGGAAAGAUAGCACACCCAAAGAAACACGAGAAUCC